AGCUAUAAGUAAAUUCACUUCCUUAGUGUUACUGGAUAAAUCCCAUGGUGGCCAUUUAAUUGGAGCUCUUGAUAUAGUGUCUGCUGUGAUAAAAAGUAUUAAUACAUUAAGUGACACCAUUCCUGGACCCUCCUUUACAUAAGAUGAACUCUAGGGAUGGAUUCUGGUACUUGUGUGGAGCUUUACUGAAGUGCUUGGCUCUCCAAAUUAAUAUGCUUCCAUAUUGAAAACUGUUUUAGAAAUAGGCAAAUGCUGCAUUCUACCUUUCUUUGCAAACAGCUUAUGAAUCAUGGAAUUAAAUCUGCUUGUCACAUGUUAGAAACAAGAAAAAAAAGACAUUUGAUAUGUGGAAUGGUGUUCUGUGCAGUUUGUAUUUACAGUCCAGGAACAAACAGGAUGAAUCAGAAGACAUGAACUCUGGAUAUGAAUGAAAAGCCUGUUUGUGUCUAGUUCAAUUGGAGAUAUUGUUUAGGAACAGUUCAUCCAUGUGAAACUAUGACCCUGUAAUACUGCCAAGGUCUGAGGGCUUUGAACUGCUUCUCUGAGGGUACUGAGAGACCACUACAUAAUGUGAUCAAGAGCUGUGCAAACGUCGUCCUCCUACCACUCUACCAAUAAACCUCAAUCCUGACCUGCAGCUUCCCUGCUACUCCAAUCCUGGGCCUCUCUUUGGCAGAAAUGGUAACUUUGCCAGUCUAAGGGGUAGUUGUAGGAUGUGGAGAAAUUAAGACAAGGCUGGGAGCAAUAAGCUCUUUCUUACCAGACUCUGAAUACUAAUAUGAGGAGGUAAAAAUUGUGUAGGUCACAAGGAUGCAUUAACUCACUAGUCAAUUAAUUUCAAUCCUAUUCAUGCUUUGGAAUUACCUGUCUUUUCUUUUUCUUUGCAGUGAGUAUGAGCCUUCUUAGAUCUACUGGGAGCUCUGGGGGUUUCUUUGGCACUUUUCUAACAACAGUAGUCACACAUCUAAAUCCUCCUGUAUGGAGCUGAAAAUGCACAAGGACAUAGAUAUUACACACCACUUCUGUCUGGUAUUCUUCAUGCCUGUGGAGUCUGAAUUCCACAUCAGAUGAGAAACAAAUUUAUCCACCAGAGAGUUAAAGCUCUGGACAAUGUGGGACUAAAAAUGUUUCAUAAGUGUUUCCAGUAGAAAUUUCCAUAUUGUUAAUUUCCAUCUUGUUUCAAUAUGGAAACUAUACCAGCUGUAUAUUUCCUGCUGUCUUAUGAAUAAACUCUCAUACUUUUAA